rnacentral:sRNA from 1 species
AUGGUCCCUAUCAUUGCCCAGUAUGGAGAUGUGUUGGUGAGAAAUCUGAGGCGGGAAGCAGAGACAGGCAAGCCUGUCACCUUGAAACACGUCUUUGGGGCCUACAGCAUGGAUGUGAUCACUAGCACAUCAUUUGGAGUGAACAUCGACUCUCUCAACAAUCCACAAGACCCCUUUGUGGAAAACACCAAGAAGCUUUUAAGAUUUAAUCCAUUAGAUCCAUUCGUUCUCUUAAUAAGUAUGUGGACUACUAUUUCCUUUUCUCUCUCUCUCUCUUAAAAAUAACUGCUUUAUUGAGAUGUAAAUCACCAUGUAAUUCAUCCACUUAAAAUGUACAGUUUAAUGGUUUGUAGUACAUUUGAAGAUAUGUAUGACCAUCACCAUUGUGAACUUUAAAACAUUUCUGUCAUUCUAGAGACCUCAUACAUGUUUAGCUAUCAACCCCUGCCACAAACCCUGUCGUCAUAUGCAACCACUAGUCAACUUUCUGCAUCUAUAGAUUUGCCUAUUCUGGACACUUCAUAGAAAUGAUAUUAAUUUGUCAGGGUUUUUUAAUUCUCUAGUUCAUGAAUUUGUACUUUAGUCUGUAUUAUUUUCUUUCUUCUGCUGGCUUCAGGCUUAGUUUGCCCUUCUCCAUUUACUGUGU